UACGUAGGGGGCAAGCGUUGUCCGGAAUUAUUGGGCGUAAAGAGCUCGUAGGCGGUGUGUCGCGUCGGCCGUGAAAACCUGGGGCUCAACUCUGGGCGUGCGGUCGAUACGGGCAUCACUUGAGUUCGGCAGGGGAGACUGGAAUUCCUGGUGUAGCGGUGAAAUGCGCAGAUAUCAGGAGGAACACCGGUGGCGAAGGCGGGUCUCUGGGCCGAUACUGACGCUGAGGAGCGAAAGCAUGGGUAGCGAACAGG
rnacentral:rRNA from 1 species